CAGGGGGCAGUGCGCGCCGCCCGCCGCCCCCCGGGCCCCGCCCCCACCUGCGCGGCGCGGCGCGGCGCUGCACACGGCACCUCGCUCCUGCUCCGCUCCGCUCCGCUCCCGCCGGGCUCGCGGCGCAGCCUAGUGUGCUGGGCCCGCCCGGCGCCGCCUACCCUGCUGCCCGAGGGGCGGGCACGGGGCGGGGCCUAGGGAAGCGCCGCGGUUGCCGCGGUAACCGCCGCCUGGGGGCGGGGCCGCGCGUCUCCUCGGACGGGUUCGAGUCCCGCGCGCCGCCUCGGGCCUGUGGCCCCGCCUGGGGGCGUGGUGUCCUCCUGGUUCAUUUACAGCAAGUGUGCGUGGCAGGAGCAAGCGGACACUGCCGGCCCCGGUGGACGUGGACACUCAAGCUAUUACCCGCGGUUUAUCGUUUCACCAGGAGCCCCAGCAGCAUACACGCAAGCCUUACCCCGGCCCCUCCUGCAGCUAAUGGACCUCAUUCAUCUCUGCCCAUUUCUGUCGGUUUGGGUUUUUUUAAUGCACGAAUAUCACUUGUCGUUGUCGUCCGGAUAAUAGGCUAGAGCAAUUACAGGAUCUUGCUAACGAUCCGGAGGUACCAGUCCAAGCCUUGCUCUGGACCUGCGCUGAGAGCGGGGCCCAGUCCGGCCGCCCGCCAAGGGGAGCGGGUCACUGGGGCUCGGAGGUGGCUGGACGCGACGGCAGCACAGCGUUCCCUCGUGUCCUGUCCGCUGCUUAGCCCGGUUGCUAGCCUGACGGCUCAAGCGGACCUUCAGCCAUUUGCUGCCUGUCUGUGCUGAUGUGUUAGCAACCCUCCUUUCACUGCUAAUCCCCCCGGACGUCUACUGUCACAACAGCCACGCGCCGUACGUGACAGACCGAGGGUAUGGCAAGGUGAGUAUUACUUUACCUUUUUUUUUAAUUUUUUUUAAAUAGAUCGAGAACAAGCUUUGCAAAAUGAUGCUUCAAAUCCCAGCAAGGAUCCCACUGCUGCCAGCUCGUCAUGCAAUCCCGUCUUCUCCUGCAGCGUAGCAGUGCCCUGCAGUGGGGAACUGGGCUCACUGCACCUGCCAGCGACCACGGCACUGCUCCAUUAAGUGGCCGGGCCCAGUGCUAAGUGCUGCGCUGGUGAUAACCUGAAGCCGCUCCCCAGAAGCCGACCGCGUUACUCUGACUACAUACCGCUGUCGCAUCAGAUCGGAGUCCGCCUCGCUGCUCCUAUUGGAAACGACCCCUCCUGCUGUUGUGAGCGGUGCUAUGCGGCAAUGUUCACAGGUUCUCCUCCAGACACCGUUACAGUUCCCAGCGCGAACACAAGCCUUUCUAUGCCUGCCACAGCCUGCAGUCAUCCGGGGAUCGCCAGGCACCGUCUCUUCCCAGAUGGGUUGCCGCUCCGGUGUGAGCUGCUUCGAGGACUGGAGCACAGGAUCAGGCCCAUGCGCUGGAAACCCGUUCAUCAGUCCACUGCACCCCAGCCAGAGAGUACAGGAGGCAGCUUUAGCUCGAGAAAAAGGAAAUUGGGGGAUAAAACCUGCCUCUCUCCAUAGUAUGGAUGCCCCCAACACACACACACACAGACUCCAUCUCUUCUUCCUCUGCAGCAGUGAUUGCAAUGGGAGCAGGGCAGGGAGUCACCCAAGGGAGGCUGCUAACAAAGAAAGUACAAAGAAAACACAGCUGGUAACACUGGACAGUGGUUUAUUGUCACAGUGCAAGGGCACAGGCCUGACCUGCUGAGAGCACGAAAUGCCUGGGACCAACCAGGCACUGCGCAGCGCCCCCCGAAUCAGGGCCUGUAUCUAGAGCUGGAGCGAAUGUUUCACACCCAGGAAAGAAGUUCAGCCAGGCAGAGGUUGUGGGACUUUCCUGCUUGCUCAGCUACUAAGGACACACAGCCUCCCUUGAGUGACUCCUGCCCUGCUCCCAUUGCAAUCAGUGCUGCAGAGGGAGAAGAGAUGGAGUCUGCGCAUUUUCUGUGAUUCUGCAAGGCCAGGAGUCCACGGGAAAAACCUACAGGUGACACCCUGCUACGGGUGUGAUGUUCUUCGUUCAGAAAAAGACAUUUGGAUCCGGUGACAAUGGAGCAUUGUGCCGUGUCAGAGGAAAGGAGGAAGGAGCUGGGCUGAAAGACUGCACAUCUGCAUGCAUCUGCAGGGCUCAGAACCUCUUGGCAGGGGUAUCCAGAGUUAAAACUCAAAAUAAGGGUGGCACUACAGACCACUGCAGACACACACGUGCUCUAGUGACUUGUCCAUGCGUGUGUCCCAGCUGCAUUAGGCUUUUCACACUUAACACUUGUGCAGGCUGAGGCUGUGUCUACACUAGAGCUUUAGCUCCAGUUAAUUGAUUUCCAACUAACUCCAGGUAGUUCCUAUGUUUGUAAAAGCCAGCUAAGACGUGCCCCACACCUUUCCCAGGCAAUAAACGGCUGGGGGAUGCCUGUACUCGCCUUUGCAAACAGGUUAACUGUUUGAAGUUAACUGACCAGGACUGUGCCACCUGGUAUCUGGCCAUUGCAGUAAGUGCCCAGGCUGUAGACAGAUUAAGAGCUAAUUAGCUGCCAGGUUCCUUGUCAUUAAGCCUCUUGUAGCAAGCAUGCAGGGGCUAAGGUCUGGAGCUGCCUUGCAUGAGUUUAGCUCCUAUGCCUUUACUGGCCUGCAUGGUAAAAGCCAUUUUCAGUUGAAGAUGCUACAUUCAGGCCAGGAGGGAAGGUGCUUCCUCCCACACUGGGACAGUCGAGACCUUGCCCGUAUGGCUGAACUCACACGUGGCUUCUGCAACAAGGUACAUACCACCCCAGUGCACAGGGCUCCUACAUGCCUCUAGCUUCUGCCUUGCUGGUAAGCACUGGAAAGGCAGUGGUCAUAACGGGGAGCCUCCUACGCCCUCACCUGUGGGCCUUCGAGCCCCAAGAAAUGGAUUUAAGCAGCAUACAGCAGUCUCCAACCAUGGGUCUCUUGCCCUGCUGGGAACUGCUGUAGACACCUGUCAUUCUCCGUGCCUCUCACGGGAAGGCAACGGUGCCACAGCCCCUUCCCACCAGCCUGGCUGUCCAUAGACCGUAAAACCAGCGGGAACCUGCAGCAGCCUCAGUGCCUCUCAACACAAGGCCUGGCAUAAGGAGCAGGGCCAGCGUGUGUGUGCAGCAAGCAUCGUUAUGGUGGUCCCGGGUGGGGAAAGGAGGCCUUUCAUUGCAGUGAAAUCCAAGGGAGACCUCCGAGCAGCAUAAAUCCUCUCGUUCCCUUGCCAGCUGCAGGGGUGAAGCGGUAGAAAAACAGGGCCCAGCCCCUGCAGAGCACUCAUAAACUCAGUCCCCUUGUUAAACAGAGCAGCUGUAUCCCAGACUUACAACAGCCAACUUCCAAAGGAGGAAGAGGUGGGGCAGGGGAGCCGUAGCAGGCAGACCUGCAGCGUGGCACAUGGCUGACGUGCAAUUAUGCAGCACAGAUCUGGUCCCAGAGAAAGGAUGGGAUGGGAUGGGAUGGGAUGGGAUGGGACACACCAUGGGGACUGGGAAGGGACGAGAGGUGCAGCCAGGAGGAGGCUUGUGGUGGGCGGGCAGAGCUGGCAACAGGAGGAGGGGAAGCUGGAGUGGGGUGAGCUGGCAGAGCAGGGUCCAACCCUUGACCCCGAGUGCAGUGGGGCUCUCAGACCUUUCGUUGGGUUUAAAUGCCCCACUUUGAAGUGUUACCAGCACAAUUCCUGGUCGGAAGCAUUUCUCUAAACACCCCCAGGAAUUUCUGUGUCUAGCCCGGCUCUGCCGCCCUCACCAUCUGCAUCUCAGUCCAUCCUCCUGGAGGGAAAAGGACCGUCACUAUUUACAUCUCGGCACUGACACGGGUACGGCCCUCCAGCUCAGAAUCUCAGCUUGAAGCCCGGACCGUGAGUCCGAGCCGAGUCCAGAAGCCAGCAUUUAAGCACCCAUCCUUCUCCGGGUUGUCACGAGUGGCUAUUCUUAACCGAAUGCUUGAAAUUCACAUUUUCCAACACAUGGGAAUGAAAGGUUUUGUCGGAAGAAUUCAAUCCAGAGUCUCACUUGCAUGAUGUUACUAACUCCAGAAUAAACUCGAGUCAGUCGGUGGUGGGAUGGAUCAGACAUGCCCGAGGACCCUCUAGUGCCCCGCGACACUGGAGCAGGUGAUGUGAUGCAGCAGCUGAUUUCUACUUCAGCAUCCAUCCGAAGGCCUUUUCAUCUCCCUCCGCCAACUCGGCCCCCGAGCCUCUGGCGAGUCUGCGAUUGUGCUCACAUCUGUGCAGCGCGGCUGAGGAAGUGAGGUGGGACAUCUCCCCUCGCCCUCCUCACUGCGGCAGAACAGAAGCCCCUUGCUCUAAGAACCUGCAACACGCCACAGAUGGCGAGAGACCCCGACCAUUCAAACAGGAGCAAGGCCCCAGCGGAGCCUGGUGAUACCCACCAUGCGGGAUCUGGCAUAAAAGGCCAGCUCCAAAGGCCACUGAAGCCAGGGGAAAGAUUUCUACUGUUUUCAUGGGCUUUUUCCCUUCCACUUGCAAAGCACCAGGCCUUUUGGGUCGCCGUGAAAACUGCAGGAGGCAAGAAUAAAGACGUUUUAGUAAACCUGCAAACACCCCCACUGACGCCCCAACCUUUUGCCCUGGCAAAGCGCAAUCUUCUCACUUCCAAAAAUCCUGCCAGUCAUCUUUCCUGUCCGCUUAUCUCGCAGGCUCCCAUCAGAAAUUGCAGAGGCAUAAAGAACAACCAGGAUUUUAUUGAUUUGAAAAUACAUAUAACCAUAGAGAAUAUAGUUUUAGUAUUUCUUUCUGAACAACAGUAAGGAACAAUUUACAUUAAAAAAAAAAAACCAAACCAAAGCAUGAAUAAAGUAAUAUCAAACAGA